UUCGUUUUCAAAUGGCCACCCUGUAUAUGAGGAAGAACCCUUCGAAAUACUUGGAACCACUCUCUGAGAAAUUAUUGGUUGAGAAAAUUCAAGUUGUAUGGUGUUCAAAUGGGAUUUGUUUCGUGCAUUUAACAUGGCACUGAGGCACUUCAAAAGUAGAACAAAUUUACUUCAGUUCUUCAAAUAGUACAUUAUUUUAUUUCCAAAUAUUCAUGAUUCGAUAAAAUAAUUCAGCUUUUAUAUAAUUAUAGUACAUCAUCCACUGUAACGGAAAGUAGUUUGUGUCAAGUUCACAUAUCCCUUCUCAUACCUAGGAAUCGCUUGAACUCCAUAAGCUCCUAAGUGACUGGAAUAUGGAAUCGUUAUAUGAUCAUCUCUUAGCUGAAAAAAUAUUUGUUGAUGACCUCAAAGCAAUAAGUAAAAGUUAUAUGUGAUAUGGGCCCACAAAUUAGGUUCCAGCAAAAGCUAGGAGUUUGGCGAUAAUCUGAAGGAAGCAGUGUAAUUCAUUCAUUCAAUAUCCUCGAUGAAACUCCAAGAGGAAUAAUACUGUAUGAAUAUUAUUAAAAAUUUGUAAAAUUUCAAGUUGAUCAAAUAACAUCAUUAAUUUCAACCAUUGCCCAAUGUUUUGAAGAGAAAGCUAUUCCCAGUAACUCUUCGAGUUAUUGUCUUGAAAAAGAAAUUAUGAACGAUUUCCUACUGAAAGGAAUUUCAUCGAACGAGUGAACAGGGAAGACUCAGCGAAGUACUAAAAUAUGAAAAAAUUAAUUAAUUGUACAAUUUCCAAGCAUAUCAAUGAACGAAACUCAAAAAACGAGCCUUCAAAAUGCUUGAAAACACUUUCUGAGAAAA